GCCUCAGGAUCAGAUAUGGCCCAGAAUUUGAAAGACUUAGUGGGACGGCUGCCCACCGGACCCUGGGGCGUGGGCACAGCGCUGAAGCUGCUGUAGGGAGCUGGCGCCAUGGCCUACCAUGUCCACGAAUCUGUGUUCACCGUGGAAGGAGGACAGAGAGCAAUCUUCUUUCAUCGGAUCGGUGGCGUGCAGCAGGACACCAUUCUGGCCGAGGGCCUUCACUUUAGGAUCCCCUGAUUCCAGUACCCAUAAUCUAUGACAUUUGGGCCAGACCUCGAAAAAUCUCCUCCCCCACAGGUUCCAAAGACCUGCAGAUGGUAAACAUCUCCCUGCGGUGCUGUCUCGGCCCAAUGCCCAGGAGCUUCCUAGCACAUAUCAGCGUCUAGGGCUAGACUACGAGGAACGAGUGUUGCCCGUACAUUGUCAAUGAGGUGCUCAAGAGUGUGGUGGCCAAGUUCAAUGCCUCACAGAUGAUCACUCAGCGGGCCCAGGUGUCCCUACUGAUCUGACAGGAGCUGACCGAGAGGGCCAAAGACUUCAGCCUCAUCCUGGAUGAUGUAGCCAUCACGGAGCUGAGCUUUAGCUGAGAGUACACAGCUGCUGUAGAGGCCAAACAAGUAGCCCAGCAGGAGGCUCAGCAGGCCCAGUUCUUGGUAGAAAAAGCAAAGCAGGAGCAGGGGCAGAAGACUGUACAGGCUGAGGGAGAAGCUGAGGCUGCCAAAAUGCUUGGGGAAGCACUGAGCAAGAACCCUGGCUACAUAAAACUUCGCAAGAUCCGGGCAGCCCAAAACAUCUCCAAGAUGAUUGUUGCAUCACAGAAUCGUAUCUAUCUCAUUGCUGACCACCUUGUGCUGAACUUACAGAAUGAAAGUUUCACCCGGGGAAGUGACAGCCUCAUCAAGGGUAAAAAAUGAGCCAGAGAUUCAAGAAGUCCACCCCCUAGAGCAAGUGGAUCUCUUCUCCAAUUUUCAAGGAGCUAGCUAGAUGUCCAGCAUACUCCCAGUUCACCCCCAAUAUCAUGUGAUGGUCCCCUGCACCCACACUGGCCUCACUGCCCCUCUUGAACUAAAGAAGACUGACGAUCACCCCUUUUUCUGAGGAACGACUUUCCUCGUGUUGGCCAAGGGUGUUGGGACAGUGUGUUAUUUCUCAGUGAUUUCCUAGUGCUUUUUCCUCCCUCAAGGUUGGGAGACGAUAACCACCAACCCAGGAAUUCUCAAUAAAUUUUUAUUACU